GAUGAACGCUGGCGGCGUGCCUAAUACAUGCAAGUCGAACGAACGGACGAGAAGCUUGCUUCUCUGAUGUUAGCGGCGGACGGGUGUGUAACACGUGUAUAACCUACCUAUAAGACUGGGAUAACUUCGGGAAACCGGAGCUAAUACCGGAUGAUAUUUUGAUCCGCAUGGUUCAAAAGUGAAAGACGGUCUUGCUGUCACUUCUAGAUGGAUCCGGGCUGGAUUAGCUAGUUGGUAAGGUAACGGCUUACCAAGGCAACGAUGCAUAGCCGACCUGAGAGGGUGGUCGGCCACCCUGGAACUGAGACACGGUCCAGACUCCUACGGGAGGCAGCAGUAGGGAAUCUUCCGCAAUGGGCGAAAGCAUGACGGAGCAACGCCGCGUGAGUGAUGAAGGUCUUCGGAUCGUAAAACUCUGUUAUUAGGGAAGAACAUAUGUGUAAGUAACUGUGCACAUAUUGACGGUACCUAAUCAGAAAGCCACGGCUAACUACGUG
rnacentral:rRNA from 1 species